UUGCACCCAGAGACCAAAGGACACCGUGAUUUGAUCCCCUGAGCUGAAUGCUUUCCAUGUUCCAGGCAGUGUGACAGUGUCUCUCACGUGAGAAAGAAACAGGGAUUCUCUGUAUAGCCCUGCUGUCCUGGAACUCAUGCUGCAGAUGAGGCUGACCCUUGAAGUGAGAGAGCUGCUUGCCCCUGCCUUCUUACUGCUGAGAUUAAAGGUCUGUGUAUCAUUUUUGAGAUAAACUCAGUGUAAACUAUAAGGCAAAGACAUGUUCGAAUUUAAUCUACAUAUAACACCCAGCAUGGAGAGAAUCAGAAACCAAGAGCAUGGUGUACUCAGUCUAACCCACAGGUUAUGGAGGCAGGGCUGACACAGCGACCUCCUCAUGUGGAAUCACCCGGAACCAUUUCUGUUCCAGCUCUUCUGUUUUUUGGCAAGUGCAUGUGAGUUUCUGGAUGACUUAUACUGAUUUUAGAUCAAGCAUGAGACUCAGAAUAGUUACUGGGUGACAUAAAAUGACAGAAACACCUUUGUACUGAGCGGAACUUCUGUGUUGGUGAAAUGAUAAAUAUAAAUGCAAACGAAAACUA
rnacentral:lncRNA from 1 species